CUUGCUGCAUUGACGCCGUCCGAUGUAGUUGUUUAAUCGUGUGUACGCUGUGCCGAGAGAAAUUGUGGUGCAUUUUGUAUGCAUUGAGACUCACAAAACCCCUGGGACCGCGUAAUGUAGCCCGCAGUAUCCUUCGUGUGGUGCGCCGAUGUCGAAGAUAUGACCCUUCGCGCUUCCUUUGUUCCGGGCUCAUGAACAGGAUCUCCUCCUCUGGCACUGUUGCAUCGUAUCGCGCUGUACGGAAGAAUUUGGUGAAAGUUGUGCUCUUACGUCCUGUAGUUGAUCCGCAAUUCAACAGUGUGUGCGCCGGUAGGACCGUUGGUGCAGUCGAUGCCACGGCACCUGCGACACUAAAAGGAGCGUCUUCCGAGUACGCCUAGAAAGGGAUGGCAAGAUUUUGUGAACCAGAGGCACCUCCACAUAUGCACCUGCGGCACUUCUGCAGCCUCAACAGCACGGAAAAGUACCUGAUGUGCACGCUGUGACAAGUUGCUGCAUCGAAGCCAAGCUGUUUUGAUCCAACUGGAGCAUCCCUGGAUCAACUGCCUUACGUGCGGCCGUUCGUAUCAUCAGUGUUUCUACGAGGAAAUACGACGGCUCCGCUCUGCUUCUGGGUUGGCGACCGUGCGGACAAUCUCUGCGCAAGCGCCGUUCGACGCAUGGCAGCCUAAUAUAGUGGGGUGUUUCCCAGUCGGCGGUCAUUCUGGGAACGCGUCUAACCGUCGUACUCUGCUGUUGCAGCUGCUGUAGGUAUGGCUGGACCUGGAGAAGAAGUGUAAGCAGACCAUGCUAUGUUGCUGAUCUGCGCUGAUCUCCACAUCCAAGUUGGUCCCGCGACAGUUGGGCACCAUUGUGCCUUGCUUCAUUGACAAGGUGAUAUAAUAUGGUGCCCUGCUCGCUUUCACCCAAGCAACCCACUCCAGCGGUCUUCUCUCGGCAGACUGGAUGCAUCGAAAUACCGUUAGAAGGUCCAAUAAACAGUGCUUGGGACAUUUAUGACAUGCUUUUUUUUUAAGCCGGAUGACUUCAGGCUUAAUGAAAGCUCAAGUUGGUGUACAGAAAUACCUACGUAAAGUAUACUUGUCUUUUUCACUUACAAGUA